AUUGAACGCUGGCGGCAUGCUUUACACAUGCAAGUCGAACGGCAGCACGGGGCAACCCUGGUGGCGAGUGGCGAACGGGUGAGUAAUAUAUCGGAACGUACCCGGAAAUGGGGGAUAACGUAGCGAAAGUUACGCUAAUACCGCAUAUGCCCUAAGGGGAAAGCGGGGACUCGCAAGAACCUCGCGUUUUCGGAGCGGCCGAUAUCGGAUUAGCUAGUAGGUGAGGUAAAGGCUCACCUAGGCGACGAUCCGUAGCUGGUCUGAGAGGACGACCAGCCACACUGGAACUGAGACACGGUCCAGACUCCUACGGGAGGCAGCAGUGGGGAAUUUUGGACAAUGGGCGCAAGCCUGAUCCAGCCAUGCCGCGUGAGUGAAGAAGGCC
rnacentral:rRNA from 1 species